CACGUAGCAAGAUUGAAAGGGGGAAAAAAAACUACGAUUUGGCCCAGAUCCAUUCCAACAGAUUUAACAACUUCAACUUCAACAAUUAGGGACCCAACUGCAUAACAGAUUUAACAGUUUCAAACGUCGACCGCUGCAGAAGCUCGUGUCAUCUAUCGUGAAAUUUUCAAACAUCGACCGCUAUAGUACUUGGCGCUAUCUAUCUUCAAACAUUGACCGCUGUUCAAUCUAAUGCCAUCUAUCUUCUGAAAGUGAACCUUGGGCCAAAAACAUGAAAGUGGUUAAAUGUAAAAAAAGAUAAACAUAACUUUUUUGCUUUUUCUCUUCUUGUCUGAACACAAAUAAAUUCAAUCCAUCAAUGAUGACUA
rnacentral:lncRNA from 1 species